UAGAGUUUUGUAUCCACGGGUGAGAAAGCAGCGUCUUUGCAUCGGGCCUCAGCUUAGCAUCCUGAAAGGCUGAAAUAUGAAGUUAAUGUUUGAUUAAUCAUAUAUAACCGGGGUUAUUAUAGUCAUCAGCAAGUUCAGAGCAAAUCAAAUAUGUUGUUACAACUUACCUUUUUAAAGCACUGGAGAAGAAAAUCAGUUAUGUCGGGUGACAAGCUAUCUGGUAUCGUUGGAUUCUCAUCCUGAAGGAAAAAUUGAGCAAAUUUUAGUAACCGAGGUUGUUAUGACCACUGACAAAAAAAAAAAAUCAUUGCGGUUAUAUCAAUUAUCAGCACGGUUGGACCCGAAUUUAAAAAAAAAAUCAAAAAAAUCAUGUGGUAAAUUUGGCUUAUAAAAAGAAAGAACACCUGAACGAUCUUAAAGAGCGCAGGCAUGGGUUGAAGAUCAUAAUAAGGAGGUGCACCAGUAAGUAGCUCAAUCACAAUACAACCGACACUCCAUAUAUCAGAUGCAGUACAAACUCCAGACAUUUCAAUAACCUGAAAAAAUAAUAAAAGUUAAAAAAGAUAGAUGAUCUCGAUAUCAUGCCACACAAAAGUACAAGAAGAUAAUAAUAAACGAAAGAUAGAAAACAAAACUUUUAUAUACCUCAGGAGCCAUCCAGUAAGGUGUUCCGACAACCGAAUGUGUAUUAGCAUCAGCCUCGGUUAGCUUCAUGGCAACCCCAAAAUCCGUCAAUUUUACAAGACCCUGAAAAUGGCAUUUGACAGAAGUAACAAGGGGUUUUGGAACAUGCUAGUUGUUGGUCCCAAAACGGAUCUUUGA
rnacentral:lncRNA from 1 species